GGGUUGUGAGGUUAAGCGACUAAGCGUACACGGUGGAUGCCCUGGCAGUCAGAGGCGAUGAAGGGCGUGCUAAUCUGCGAUAAGCGCCGGUAAGGUGAUAUGAACCGUUAUAACCGGCGAUACCCGAAUGGGGAAACCCAGUGUGACUCGUCACACUAUCAUUAACUGAAUCCAUAGGUUAAUGAGGCGAACCGGGGGAACUGAAACAUCUAAGUACCCCGAGGAAAAGAAAUCAACCGAGAUUCCCCCAGUAGCGGCGAGCGAACGGGGAGGAGCCCAGAGCCUGAAUCAGCAUGUGUGUUAGUGGAAGCGUCUGGAAAGGCGCGCGAUACAGGGUGACAGCCCCGUACACAAAAGCGCAUGUGCUGUGAGCUCGAUGAGUAGGGCGGGACACGUGGUAUCCUGUCUGAAUAUGGGGGGACCAUCCUCCAAGGCUAAAUACUCCUGACUGACCGAUAGUGAACCAGUACCGUGAGGGAAAGGCGAAAAGAACCCCGGCGAGGGGAGUGAAAAAGAACCUGAAACCGUGUACGUACAAGCAGUGGGAGCACAGGUUUACCUGUGUGACUGCGUACCUUUUGUAUAAUGGGUCAGCGACUUAUAUUCUGUAGCAAGGUUAACCGAAUAGGGGAGCCGGAGGGAAACCGAGUCUUAAUUGGGCGUUAAGUUGCAGGGUAUAGACCCGAAACCCGGUGAUCUAGCCAUGGGCAGGUUGAAGGUUGGGUAACACUAACUGGAGGACCGAACCGACUAAUGUUGAAAAAUUAGCGGAUGACCUGUGGCUGGGGGUGAAAGGCCAAUCAAACCGGGAGAUAGCUGGUUCUCCCCGAAAGCUAUUUAGGUAGCGCCUCGUGAAUUCAUCUCCGGGGGUAGAGCACUGUUUCGGCUAGGGGGCCAUCCCGGCUUACCAACCCGAUGCAAACUGCGAAUACCGGAGAAUGUUAUCACGGGAGACACACGGCGGGUGCUAACGUCCGUCGUGAAGAGGGAAACAACCCAGACCGCCAGCUAAGGUCCCAAAGUCAUGGUUAAGUGGGAAACGAUGUGGGAAGGCCCAGACAGCCAGGAUGUUGGCUUAGAAGCAGCCAUCAUUUAAAGAAAGCGUAAUAGCUCACUGGUCGAGUCGGCCUGCGCGGAAGAUGUAACGGGGCUAAACCAUGCACCGAAGCUGCGGCAGCGACACUGUGUGUUGUUGGGUAGGGGAGCGUUCUGUAAGCCUGUGAAGGUGUGUCGUGAGGCAUGCUGGAGGUAUCAGAAGUGCGAAUGCUGACAUAAGUAACGAUAAAGCGGGUGAAAAGCCCGCUCGCCGGAAGACCAAGGGUUCCUGUCCAACGUUAAUCGGGGCAGGGUGAGUCGACCCCUAAGGCGAGGCCGAAAGGCGUAGUCGAUGGGAAACGGGUUAAUAUUCCCGUACUUGGUGUUACUGCGAAGGGGGGACGGAGAAGGCUAUGUUGGCCGGGCGACGGUUGUCCCGGUUUAAGCGUGUAGGUGUGUGUUCCAGGUAAAUCCGGUUCACUUUAACACUGAGGCGUGACGACGAGGCACUACGGUGCUGAAGCAACAAAUGCCCUGCUUCCAGGAAAAGCCUCUAAGCAUCAGGUAACAUCAAAUCGUACCCCAAACCGACACAGGUGGUCAGGUAGAGAAUACCAAGGCGCUUGAGAGAACUCGGGUGAAGGAACUAGGCAAAAUGGUGCCGUAACUUCGGGAGAAGGCACGCUGACACGUAGGUGAAGUGAUUUACUCAUGGAGCUGAAGUCAGUCGAAGAUACCAGCUGGCUGCAACUGUUUAUUAAAAACACAGCACUGUGACAAACACGAAAGUGGACGUAUACGGUGUGACGCCUGCCCGGUGCCGGAAGGUUAAUUGAUGGGGUCAGCGCAAGCGAAGCUCCUGAUCGAAGCCCCGGUAAACGGCGGCCGUAACUAUAACGGUCCUAAGGUAGCGAAAUUCCUUGUCGGGUAAGUUCCGACCUGCACGAAUGGCGUAAUGAUGGCCAGGCUGUCUCCACCCGAGACUCAGUGAAAUUGAACUCGCUGUGAAGAUGCAGUGUACCCGCGGCAAGACGGAAAGACCCCGUGAACCUUUACUAUAGCUUGACACUGAACAUUGAGCCUUGAUGUGUAGGAUAGGUGGGAGGCUUUGAAGUGUGGACGCCAGUCUGCAUGGAGCCGACCUUGAAAUACCACCCUUUAAUGUUUGAUGUUCUAACGUGGACCCGUUACCCGGGUUGCGGACAGUGUCUGGUGGGUAGUUUGACUGGGGCGGUCUCCUCCUAAAGAGUAACGGAGGAGCACGAAGGUUGGCUAAUCCUGGUCGGACAUCAGGAGGUUAGUGCAAUGGCAUAAGCCAGCUUGACUGCGAGCGUGACGGCGCGAGCAGGUGCGAAAGCAGGUCAUAGUGAUCCGGUGGUUCUGAAUGGAAGGGCCAUCGCUCAACGGAUAAAAGGUACUCCGGGGAUAACAGGCUGAUACCGCCCAAGAGUUCAUAUCGACGGCGGUGUUUGGCACCUCGAUGUCGGCUCAUCACAUCCUGGGGCUGAAGUAGGUCCCAAGGGUAUGGCUGUUCGCCAUUUAAAGUGGUACGCGAGCUGGGUUUAGAACGUCGUGAGACAGUUCGGUCCCUAUCUGCCGUGGGCGCUGGAGAACUGAGGGGGGCUGCUCCUAGUACGAGAGGACCGGAGUGGACGCAUCACUGGUGUUCGGGUUGUCAUGCCAAUGGCACUGCCCGGUAGCUAAAUGCGGAAGAGAUAAGUGCUGAAAGCAUCUAAGCACGAAACUUGCCCCGAGAUGAGUUCUCCCUGAGACUUAAAGUCUCCUGAAGGAACGUUGAAGACGACGACGUUGAUAGGCCGGGUGUGUAAGCGCAGCGAUGCGUUGAGCUAACCGGUACUAAUGAACCGUGAGGCUUAACCUUACAACGCCGAAG
rnacentral:rRNA from 1 species